GCAGCAGCAUUGGCAAUCCUCAAAUGGAAAGCCAGCCUUCAAAGCCAAAACCAUUCUGUUUUGCUUUACUUUGUUUACUUAUUGUUCAAGGUUAUCAUAGUCCUUAUCAAUAUUGGCAUUUUUACGUGUGGUAUCCAUCACCGACAAAAGGACAUCAUUUUACUAAAUCUUCACUUGCCUAUAGGUAAUGACCUCGCUCUGAUAUUUUAGGCAGAAACAUUGUCAUAGUCUACCAACUUCCUAAGUAGGAAUUUAAGCCUUUGUUUAGAUCAGGAUAUUUUAUUUUCUUGUUGGAACAAAAAACUAGAAGCAACUAUUGGGGGUAAGGCAAGACAAAACUUGAGUUCUAGUUCUCUAAAGGUGCUAGGAGCCUCGUACCCAUUUAAAACAACAAAUAGAGUAGACAUUUUCACACAAUGCAAAUCCGAUGCCUGAUUCAUCUACUCCAUACCUUAGCAUUACUCAAGUUUUAUACAGGAAGUUCCAGGCUCACUAUCAACUUCUUAGCGACAACAAGAGCAAACAAAAUGCUACGACAAGCAGUAUUGGCAGAUGAAAAAUCCGUCAAUUUACAAGGAUGGGAAUAAUUAAGAUGUGGUAGUGAUGUGAAGGGGGCACUAACCUUCAUUUAGAGCAAACCAAAUGUCAUGGCAAGCAGCAUUGGCAAAUGAAUAAUUAUAAUGUAGUAGUGAUAUAAAGGGGGCUCUAACCUUCAUUCAGAAAAACCAUAUACUAGAAAUAUCUUCGGGAUAUGGAACAGUGAUGGCAGAUUGAUGCUCUGCAGCUGCAUGAAUCCCUCCCUGCUCGUUGCACCAAAUAUUAAAUCUUAUGCACUCAAAACCCCUAUGGAGAUGGUUGACCCAACCCAAAAUAAGCUUGCCAUUGCCCAGACGAUACAGAGCGCUACCCAGUGGUGGAGCCACUGGAAAUUCUGAUGACCAUUUGACGGGCAAAUGUUUCUUAUCAAGCAAAUUAUACGCCUCCAAAGAACAUUUAUAAAUGAAAGUAUACAGCACAUCGUCCACGAUUGCCGCUGAGUCAAACCAGUAACAAAAUUUUUGUUCGAGGCAAACCCAUGAUUUACGAUCAUAGUAAUAAGCGUAAAGAGUAUCACUGGCAUCGCAGUGCACCAAAAUCCGAGAUCGGGAAGAAUCUAGAACAGGAACACAUACAACACGUAUAUCGAUAGCUUCCGGAGGGGGCGACAAUGGUUCCCAAAUAUCCCCACUUAUAUCGUAAACCUCGCCAAAAAUUCAGAACCCAUACAUUCGAAGACGUAAAUCUUUCCUUCAGCAGCAAGAACAUGGGGAAAAGACCGAGGGAACAACAUAGAAGUAGUUUUUCUCCACCCACGUUCAAGGUCCUUCAAAUCUAAUUGGAAAACAUCGUUUACAUCAUCAUAACCAAAAGGAGUAGCAUCAUUUUUGCGUAUUCCCCCAAUAACAUAAACGUGGUUGCCACAGGAAACGGCAGUGGAACUUGAAGGAGCAUCAGGUGGCAUCGCCUUAAUAAAGACUUUAUUGCUUUCCAGAUCAAUAAAGUGCAAACCGAGCGUUCUUUUACCAUCGGUACCCGGCCGUUUCUGGACGAGGGCCCUGAUCAGUUCAUCUGGCUCUCGCCCAUCAAAGUAACUGGAGGAAUCACUAGUAUCGCCGCUCAUGGUUCACCCUCAGCUUCGCCUUUCCAGAUCCAAAAUCGCUUUUAGUUUUAGGGUUUCUAGCUUGGGUUUUUUUUUUUUUUUUUAGUAUGGUUUGGGUUUAGUAGUCAUUGACAAAAAAGGAUUUAAAGUAAUAAAUUUGUUGACAAGUUAGUAAACGGUUGAUAUAUUUUUUUAAAAUAGUAAUUUGCUUGUCUCAGUUGUUAAUUUCCAAAGUAGAGAUAUUGUCAAUAUGUGACUAUUUGUAUUUUAAAAUUAUUUAUUAAUUAUGAUUAUUUUAGAAUCAAAGCUGCUAAUGGGGUAGUAAUUGCUACUAAGAAGAAAUUGCCUUCGAUCUUGGUUUAUCUAUUCAGAAAAUACAGUGUCUGACACAAGUGUUGAAGUUGUUUACAGUGCUGGGCAGGUAAUAGCAUUUUGGAUCAAGUGUAACAUAAAAUCUUUCUAAGCUCGGACAGAACUUCAGGAAGCAAAGUAAGGCAUUGAUUGGUUCUCUUUCCAUUGAACAAUCAAUCCACCAAAGCUCUUUUAAUUCGCUCAAAUAACAUUCAGGUCGCCUACUUGAGAAGACUAGAAUGAUUUCUUUUAUAGAGACCAUAACGAUAACAAGAAGGGAAAGGGAGUCUCAGUCUCAAAGACGGUGAGUUAUCUAUAUUCAAAUGCCUAUGCACAACCAUUUGUCUGUGCAUUACUAUUUAAAUAAAAAUACAGAGUUGAAAGUGAAAGAGCUUUCUUUACAAGGAGGUAUUGUUAGAGAUGAUCAAGGAAUAUCGUCAGUCUUACAUUGUUAGUUGUUUGCCAAACUUUCGCUUGAUUUUAGAUACACUAUCAUCUUUCAAUCUCUGGGAUAGCGUUUUUUUUAACCGCAUCACUUCACUUCUUGUAUGUGCUCAUUUUUUUUAAGACAUUGUCAUGAUGUGAGUUCUUUCUUUUUUAUGCUCGCCAUUUGUCCCCUUAGAAAUUUUCAUUUUUAGUUCUGGUAUCUUAGUUCUUGUUUUGGAACACUGAAUUCAUUGAAACACAAUCAAUUUUUGUUUCAAUUAUAGUUGGAACAGUGAGAUAUUCAUUUGUACACAUCUCCCACUUCAAGCCUCGUAUGAUAUUUUAUACUUGUUUAAGUUAGAGAAGAGUUGGUAUAAACUCUGAAAUGCUAUAGCUUGGGACCCAAAAGAGACAAAAGAGAAAAGCUUAUUGCCUGCGUGAAUGCCCAAAUAGAGAGGGAGAGUCUAUCAUACGUCAAGUAUAAAAAGUACCAACAACCAUUCACAAAGACUUAGAUGCAAGUCAACAAUGGUUUGAAAAAUGGGUGAGAGACUUAUGUUAUUGCAUUCUAUUCAUUUUUCCAGAUCUUCUGUUUCAAGUCUCAAAUGACAAUUUUAACUCUGUAAUAACAGAAAGGUUGAUCUAAAAUGCGAUUGCUUUGGACCCAAAAUAGAAAUGCGCUUUUAGCCUGUGUGAAUCCAAAGGGACAGUGUAUCAUACGUCAAGACUGAAAGGGGCAAAGGUCUCUUGACCUUGAAUGGGGCUAACAUAAAUUACUAUAAUACAAAGACUUCAACUUUGGAGUGAAAAAUGGGUGAGACUUUUAAUAGUUAGUUCCUAUAUAGAGGGAGAUAAAAGCUUAUUGCCUAUGUGAAUGUCCACAUCUCCAUUUUGUAGUCUUAUAUGACAGUUGUCUUCUUGACACUAAAUCGGCCAACAUAAAUUAUUAUAAUACAAAGACAUAAAACUAUGGAGUGAAAAAUGGGUGAAAGACUUAAUAGUUUUUUUAUUAGAGGGUUGAAAGACUUAAAAGUUAGUUUGAUCGUACAGGCUACUGCAAUUAACCUAUAUAUAACCUUCAUAUCAUGGCUGUUACUUGCAUGCAGAGCAUUUGUUACUCAUGAAGAGUUUAACCUUGCUUGCUCCCUUACUCUUGUGUGUUACUUUACUAUGUUCUUCUCUUAAUGUUGCUUCUGAUUCUGCAGCAGAAGCAUUGGCAAUCCUCAAAUGGAAAGCCAGCCUUCAAAGCCAAAACCAUUCUGUUUUGCUUUCCUGGAAUACUUCCAACGACCCAUAUACCAAAACAAGUCCUUGUGCUUGGUUUGGAAUCCAUUGCAACCAUGCUGACAGUGUUACAAAGAUUAACCUCACUGGCUAUGGUGUAAAAGGUACGCUCCAUUUAUUUCCAUUCUUGUCUUUGCCUAAUCUUGCAGAGUUGGACCUUAGCACCAAUGAACUUUAUGGCAUAAUCCCACCUAAAAUCAGUCAGCUCUCCAAACUCACCUACCUCGAUUUAUCCUUUAACCAGUUCUCUGGGAAAAUCCCACCUGAAAUUAGCCACCUUGUACAUCUUCAGACCCUCCACCUUGCUGGAAAUCAGUUGAACGGCUCAAUUCCUCGAGAAAUUGGUCAGCUCAAAUUUCUCACUGGCCUUGCCUAGUGUAGCAACAAGCUAAAUGGUUGCAUUCCUGCUUCUCUCGGUAAACUAAGUCGACUUGUUUCCUUGCUUCUCUAUAAUAAUUCCCUUUCUGGUCCCAUUCCUCCAGAAUUGGGAAACCUAAGGAAUUUGGUUGAAGUUGACUUGGACACCAACCGUCAAACUGGUCCCAUCCCUUCCACAUUUGGAAACUUGAAAAAACUGACGGUCCUUCAUAUGUUUAGCAAUAGUCUUUCAGGUCCCAUCCCCUCUGAGUUAGGGAAUAUGGAAUCGCUUUCUGAAAUAAGCCUUUAUCACAACAAUCUAUCUGGCUUGAUCCCAACCUCAUUUGGUGACUUGAGACAUCUUACACUUGCCCGCCUUUAUGGGAAUCAACUCUCUGGUCCAAUUCCUGUGGAGAUAGGAAACUUGAAUUCUCUUGUUGACCUGGAGUUGAGUGAAAACCAACUCAAUGGCUCUAUUCCUGCUUCACUUGGAAAUCUGAGCAACUUGGAAAUUCUGUUCCUCCGAGACAACCUGCUCUCAGGCUCCAUUCCUAAUGAAAUUGGAAACUUGAUGAAGUUGAGCAUGUUAGAACUAGACCACAACAAUCUGACAGGAAAUUUGCCGCAAGGAAUUUACCGUGGUGGAUCACUUGAAUACUUCACAGCAAAUGACAACCAGCUUACCGGACCAAUCCCUCAAGGGUUGAAAAAUUGCACUAGAUUGAAGAGAGUCUACCUUGAAAGAAAUCGACUCAAAGGAAAUCUAUCUGAAGAUUUAGGCGUUUACCCGAAUCUAAAAUUCAGUGAAUUAAGUGACAAUGAAUUUUAUGGUGAAGUGUCUUCCAAUUGGGGGUUGUGCAAGCCUAUGGAGCCUAUCUAUUGCAAGGAACAAUCUCAGUGGUAAAAUACCAGCUGAGAUUGGAAACUCACGUCAGAUACAAAGGCUUGAUCUCUCGUCAAACCAUUUAGUCGGGGAGAUUCCAAAGGAAAUUGCAAAGUUGACUUCUUUGCUUGAUCUUCGUUUGAAUGGGAAUCAACUUUCUGGUAGUGUACCCUUGGAACUAGGACUUAUGUCCAAGCUUUUGUAUCUAGAUUUGUCUGCAAACCAAUUGAGCAAGUCCAUCCCUGAAACUAUAGGGAAUCUGUUCAUGUCAUUCUACUUGAAUUUGAGCAUCAAUCAGUUUAGCCAAAGAAUUCCAAUUCAAGUAGGCAAGUUAACUAGGCUGGUUCAACUAGAUUUGAGUCACAACAUGCUUUCAGGGGAGAUUCCAGGGGAAUUUCAAAGUUUGCAGAGCUUGGAGACACUAAACCUUUCUCACAAUAAUCUCUCUGGUGAAAUACCAGCCUCUUUGGAGAAGCUCCGAGGCUUGUACACUGUUGACAUUUCAUAUAAUGAACUCCAGGGUCCCAUUCCCAACUGCCAAGCAUUCUAAAUGCUUCAGUACAAGAAUUGGGACGGAACAAAGGAUUAUGUGGCAAUGCUAGAGGCUUACCGCCUUGCACACCUUUUUCUAAGAAGGGUCACAACAACAACAAAACCGUUUUAGUAGUUAUGUUCUCUCUUUUAUCGGUUUCUUGUCUCUUGAAUUCAUCAAUUGCUUUGUUGUUUGCCUUCAAGAGGAAGAAAGAUACAGAUGAAGAAAGACAAAGCAAUGCAAGUGAUGAAAUAUUUUUCUCUGUAACUCCCUUUAAUGGAAGAAUAUUGUAUAAAGAGAUCACUAGAACCACCAAAGAGUUUGAUGCUAAAUAUUGCAUUGGGAAGGGAGGAUAUGGAAACGUAUACAAAGCAGAGCUGUCAUCAGGAGAUGUUGUAGCUGUGAAGAAAUUCCAUCCGUUGCAUACCGGUGAAAUGGCAGAUCAGAGACAGUUCCUAAAUGAGGUAAGGGCAUUAGUAGAAACAAGACACAGAAAUAUCGUGAAGUUCUACGGUUUUUGUUCCUCUGCAGGUCAUUCCUUCUUAGUAUACAAGUACCUUGAAAGGGGUAGCUUGGCUUCAGUUCUCAGUAAGAAUGAAGAAUCUAAGAAAUUGGACUGGAACAAGAGGGUGAACAUUGUCAAAGGUGUUGUUAAUGCCCUCUCCUAUUUGCACCAUGACUGUUCACCGCCCAUUGUUCAUCGAGAUAUAACAAGCAACAACAUUUUGCUUGAUUUGGAGUAUGAAGCUCACCUUUCAGACUUUGGCACUGCUAAGCUUCUCAAUCCAGACUCAUCCAAUUGGAGUAAUAUUGCUGGAACAUACGGAUACAUAGCACCAGGUGAUUUUUCAUUUUACUUCCAUAGAUGACAUAGCAUAGAGGAUAAUAUUUGUUAUCAACUAUUAUUUCUUUUUCUUUGCAGAGCUUUCCUACACCAUGCAAGUUACUGAAAAAUGUGAUGUGUUUAGCUUUGGAGUGCUGGCAUUGGAAUUGAUAGUUGGGGCAUAUCCGGGUGAAUUUCUCUCUAAUCUAUCAAUUUUAACAGCAGAAAGCAUUCCACUAAACAAUGUGUUAGAUCAAAGUCUUUCGCCUCCACCACCAGAAGUUGUGAACAAACUCAUAUUCAUCCUGAAGCUGGCUGUUUCAUGUUUAAAUAUCAAUCCAAAAUCUAGGCCAACCAUGCACACUGUUUCUCAGCUGGUGUUCGACCACAUCUAGUCCCAUCUAGGACUCUUUGAUCUUCAUCUAAGAUACCACCUUAGAAACGUUUGGUAUUUGCUCUAAUGUUGUUUCUUUAGCUGUUGUGUAGUUAUAAUGGGUUAAUGGAUUAGCAUUUUUGUACCCUCAAUUACCUUUUUCCUUGAGAAUUGCUACUAGCUUGUUGGUAGCGCAACAAGAGUUGUUUCCGAUAUUUGUCUGUGACAGUUUAUCAUAAAUUGUAUUCUAGUAUCAUCUUUUCAAAGGUUUCAUCCUCUAAUAUUGAUUGGGUCCUUCAAAGAGCUAAGCCUUUCGAAGCUUUCAACACCCUCCCUAUUGCUAUUAAUCCAAGUCGUAUUGUCUCAUAUUAGUCCUACAUCAAUUAAAGGAUUCGCUAAUCCAUUUAUUAAUGCUCUCAAAUUUUAAUGUCUUCCCCAUUCUUUCUCUAAAGGGCCAUACCUAUAUCAACUAUCACUUGUAUUUCAUGAAGUGAUUUUCUUUUAAUUGAAUCUACUUGACCAGCCUCCAUUAAUCCUACCUUGAAUUAACUUAAAUGUAGAACUCAAAGGAUGGAAGAGUAUGUUCUUUGAAAACCUACCUCGCUUUCUUCAAUUGUAAUACCCAACCCAAAAUAAAAUCUAAUUAUCUUUUUAGGAUUUUAUUUUAUUUUACUAAAGCCUACUAUGAAAAAAAAUUGCAAUAGGUGGAUUAAAAAGAAAGAUGAGAGAAAAAACAUAAGAGAACAAAAAUUGGGGAAAAUGAAGGAGGAUGGAAAUUGAAGUUCUAGCCAUAAAUUCCCUGUUUUGAUUGUUUAAAGAAAUAUUUAUUAGAUUGCUACAAUUUGAUGGAAUUAGUUGAAAGAAAAUUGAUUAGUGAAUUGACUUUGUAAAAUUAUUAGGUUUUAUUUUAUCACCUAUUAAGAGAUAUAAGUAUGAUUUUUAUUAGACUGAAGGGUUAGUAGAUUAAUCAUAGCUUCCAACACAUCAAUACUUAAUAAACUAAUUUGCACAUUCAAGCCUAUAUAAUCAAGCAUAUAUAGUUAAUAAUCCAAAAAAGUAAAAUUCAACCAUGUUAACAUUAUAAGCUAAACUAUUAAAAUACUGAACUUUUUUAAGUUACAAGCCCAUCAACCUAGUUACAUGCUAUAAGACUCAAAACAUUUAUAUAUAUACAAAAUUGCAACGAAAUGAUUUGAGUUGAGCUGAAGAAAAUGAAUGCUUAAUCUCGAAUUUACUAAAGCCUCUGUCUGAGAUCUGCGCACAAAAACAAAUAUAACCGUACGCUAAAUAAUAUAUACUCAAUUAUACUAAUAUGAUUUGAAUUCAAUUAUAAACGUAAUAACAUUGAAUAAACAAAUAAGUAAAAAGAUUAAAUAUAUUAUUCAUUAGCCAUUUCAAUAUCAACAUUAAUAUGCAUAUACCUAUAAACCACUAUUCCUUUAGAAGAUUCAUAAUCAUUUAUCAUUCCAACAUGUUCAUACUUGCUUACAAAUCACAUUAUCUUCAAGGUAUUUGCAUUUAUUUUUACCAUAUCAAUUUCAUAUAUCAUAUUUCCAUUAUUAUCAAAUUUUACUAUACAAAUGUUUAACAAAUAAUUUCACAUUUUAGCCUCUAUUAACAUAAUCGAACUCAAAAACGGAUAUUCGGAUAAAUCCACCAACACACCAGUAUAUGCACCGAAGUGCUGACCAUACAUAAAUUCACCAAUUCUACCAAUCACACCAGAAUACGCUCAUACUCUCAAAGAAAUUUGAGCUGACGAUGACAAUUUGUUCUCGACCCUCAAGAAAUUAGAGAAUUAUAGCAAUAGACCCUAUGACAUGCCAACUAUACCCGUGACUCUAUCCAACAACGUUAAUAGAGAAAUUUCAUAAUUAAAGACAUAUCAUCAAGAAAGCAUAUACAUAUAUAAUCAAUUUACCAAAUGAUCGCAAAACACAUAGUUUGGCAUAUACGUACCUUUAAAAUACAAUCUCAUUGAUAGUUUACCAUUUUUGAAUAUUUUACGAGUUGAACAUAUUCAUAUAACUAUUUAAUGAACUCAAAUUAUGAGAGUACAAAUUAGAUUAUCUAUUUGUCAAUGCCAUUGGCUUUCCCUUUGCCUUUCGAUGUCCCAGUGUCGUCUUUAGCUAUGUACGAAAAAAUCGAAUACGGGAAAUUAAUCCAUUAUACAAUUCAGACAUAAAAGCAUGAUGAUACAAGCCCUUAUAUUCGAAACACUCGUACCUCACAAUUCACCGAAUCAAAUUUAAAUAUGACUAACAAAUAUAGUACAAGAACUUCCUACAACCAUUUUUUAUUAUCAAACCUCAAGUUUUCAUCCCUUACAAUUAAGUCAUUAAUAACACAUAAAUUAUCAAUUUUCUAAGUUUGAUUCAAGCUUAAUUUAACACUUUUUACUAAAAUUUUAACAUAUUCUACUAUGAUCUUAAUUUAUAUCAACAUGCAUGAAAUUAAAUCUUUAACCUCAAAUAUUCUCAAGUUUUUCCAUCAACGGAAAACCAUAUCAAAGCUCACUAAUUCACUAGAUUAACUAAUGGGUUCGCUAUUAACAAAAAUCCUAUUGAAAUUCAAAGAAAACAACUCGCUAAUGCUUGAUGCAAGGUGCAGCAAUGGUGGCUUGAUGAAGAAUUCUUUCUUUUGUUUGUUUGUCUUAGCCGAUUAAGGAAGAAGAGAACUGAAUUUUCUCUUUCAUCCGACUACUUUCAUAUUUAUAUGCAUAAUUAGCAUAACGCUUGACAUAAUUAUUUCACUAAUCCAUGGGUUAAUCGACCCAUAAUAUUAGUUUGUGGAAAACGAUUGAUAUGGCUUUUACUUAAAUAUUAACAUGAAUUAACAAUGAUUUUAUUACUACUAAAGUCCUCGACAUAAUUAUACUCAAGCCCCUUAAAUAUAUAUUUUUAAUUCCCCAAUUAAAACCACUUUUCAGUUUAGUCCAUGUACUAUAAUUAUCAAUUGACCCAAGUUACUUCCGCUAAACGAUUCACACCUAAAUGGACUAUACCAAUUUCUAGUGACUUGUUUUAAGAAAUUUAACCCUAAAAUUGAAUUUAUCGAUGUCGAUAAAAUUAAGAAUCGUUACAAUUUACUGUUGUCAUAAUCUCCCUUUUUUGACAAAGAUGUCAAAGAGACUUCUUCUCACCAUAUGAUCUUCUUUAAAUCAAUCCAGCAAAGUGCAUAAACAUCCAAUAAAGUAAUAAGGUUUAAGAACAAAAUCAAACACAACCACAAUUAGCUUCAAGUAUGCAUAGUUCAGAUAUAGGACCUACUCUGUCAAACUUCUUAUUUUAUUCAACAUUAUUAAUUUCUUAUCCAAAAUUUAGGUAAAUUUCAUUAUAAAUGUCACAACUGAAUUAAUCCAUAAAUGGAUUUAAAAAUAUUUUAAUUCGGGUCCUGUUUAAUGUAUUGUAAUCUAUGCAAUCUCAUCUAUGUCUUUAUUUAUAAUAGUCAAGAGAAGUUAUGUCCCCAAUUAGAAUUAUAGAGGACAUAAUAAUCCUAACAUGAGUCAUUUCCUCUUUCUGAUGACUAUGCAUCAUUUAAAUGAACUAAUAAUAUAAGUUUCUCUUGCAUUAUAAUCAAUUCCUGUAAUGCAAAUUAAUAUUAAUUAAAUCUUAGAUAAUCAGUGAUUUAAUAUUUGUUUCUUCAUCUUAUUUUUCAUGCAAAAACUGUUGAGAAUAAAAUACAAAAAAAUAUUAAAUAGUCAUGUUAAAAGUUUAUUAGUUCAAAAUAAUUAAAAAUAUUACAAGUAAAUUGCGGUGAAAUAAUUGGGCUAAGGGCACAAUUUCUAACAAAAAGUACAUUCUUAGGUUGGAAUAAAGCUCCCUUAUAUUUUCCUUUAACAUAUUAAAGGAUAGCUUAUGCAAUACAACAACUAAGUUUUUCAUAACAAAUUCUGUUGGAAAAAUUGAUUAAGAAAAUUGAGCCAUUUUGUUAUUUAUGACAAUAAAUUUAUUGACCGAAGUAGUACAUGUACUUUGUACGAGGCGAUUAAGUCGAUCCUGACUUUUAACCGAACUACCUUCUUCACUAUCCUUAAAUUAUAAAUUGCCUCGAGCGUAGGCUUGAGCAACACAAAUCAAAUCUCUAAAUGAAAACUUUUAAUUAACCUUCAGUAGGUAAGUUUAUUUCUCUCUUUCACUAGUAACAAUACAUUUUUCCUAGAAAAUAGAAUUUAUUCCUGUUAAAUAUUUUUUUACUAUUUUCUCGCAGAAUAACCAAAUUAUAUGAUGUGUGUAUAAAUUGUAUAACUAGCAUUUCUUAUUUAUAAAGAAAAUGUAUAAAAUUUCUAUUUGAAUAAUAUCUAAUUAAAUAAUAAUAUUUUAAUAAAAAUAACUAUAGUAUGGGGGUGGCGACAACCUUAGUAAAACACUAGGGGCACGUUUGGUUCGCUGUAAUGGAAUAGAUGCGUAAUGGAAUAGAGGCGUAAUAGUAUUCUUGUGUUUGGUUGAAUGGAAUACAGGUGUAAUAGCAUAAGGGAAAAAACUAAAAUGACUAGAUCAUACCCUUAGCAGAAUUUUUUUUAAGUUGAGGAUUAUUGUUUUGUUAUAAAAUUUUAAUAAGAUUAUUAAUAUAAAUAAUAAAUAUUUUAAUCAUAUUUUAACAUUAUUAUUAUUAAAUAUAAUUUAAUAAAAAAUAUAUAAUUUAAUAAAAUUCUUAAUAUAAUUAUUCUUAUAUGAAUUUACUAAAAUCAUAAUAUAUAAUACUAUAAAAUAUAAUUUAACAUAAUUAUUAUGAAAUAUAAUUUAAAAAAUAUAUAUAAUUUAAUAAAAUUCUUAAUAUUAAAUAUUCUUAUAUGAAUUUACUAAAAUCAUAAUAUAUAAUACUAUAAAAUAUAAUUUAAAAUAAUUAUUAUUAAAUAUAAUUUAAUAAAAAUAUAUAAUUUAAUCUAAAGUUUGAAUGUGUAUUUACCUAGCAAAAAUCAACGAACUCUCAUGUAACUAUAACCUAAUAAUAUAUGAUGUAUAAUUAAUAUUUCGUGACUAAUUAAUAGCAUAGAGAUAAAUAUAGUAUACGAUUAAAAUGCUAAUAAUUUAUAGUAUACAAUUAAAAUAUUAUAAAUAAAAUAGUAGUAAAUGAUAUAUAAGAUAAAUUAACAUAUAAAUAAUUCAUAUAUUUAGAAGGAAUAAAGAUAAAUUUAGUGUGAUAAAAUACAACAUUACUUUGAAAUCAAGGUUGCGAAUUAGUUUUCGUGCAAGCUUUUCCAAAUGCUAUAUUAAUGAUAUUGAACAAGUAGUAAUGUAAAGCUCUUUUCUUAUAUCCUUCAAAUACUUCAACUGAUUUCUCCAUUUAUCAGCAAAAUAAAAGCCAUCCUGAUCAGCAAAACAACUUCCAAAUAUAGCAUUUGAUCCUGUCAUCCUCAUAAACAAACAAGUCAACCCCCUAUCACAAGCCUCAGUUCCCAAUAGGCAAUAGGAGAAAAACAAGAUUCCAGUGGCAACAUAAUUCCAAAAUAUAUAAACAUGCAUUUAAAAAUUUUUAGAUCAAACAUCAAAUUUACUGGCAAUGCUGCAACAAAACUGCUUCACCGCUUCAAAGUUGUUAUCGUCAAGGGAGAAAUUGCUCAGUCUAUUAACCAUGGCAUCCUCAGUAACUUGAUCAAAUUGGUACCUAUUCCUGAACAACAAGUAACUCCCACAUUCCCAGGCUGAGAUGGCAUGAGAGGCUGCACAAGUUUUCUGUUGGAUGGAUUAAAAUUAAUCCAUCAGUAAGUUUUCAACAAUAUUGAAUCCUCCAAUUUGACAUCAAUUUUGAUAAAACAAACCUACCACAAUCUAGAUUGUAAUGUUCUGAAAUUAAAGAUGACAAAAUCAUACAUUCAUAAGGCUUUUCUGUUUUACAUUUUCUGUCUCCUUGUUCUUCAUAAAUGAUGAUUGUCUACAUAUAAAGCUCUACAGAUGCUGCAAUACCCUAUCAUCUUAAAAUUAACUACUAUAAUUUGAUGUGACAACCAGUAAGCCUGUCCAGUUAAUGAUAUCAAAACUUUGCUUUCCUGCUAGUAUUGCAGAUCCCAUGAUAGGUAAAUAUAUUAUGUUCUUAAAUAACUAAUAAAAAUUUGACACACGUCCGUAUACUGCCACAUCACUAGUGUAAUUUUCCUCCCUAUUUAGACUAUAACCCAUCACAUGGCAUUAUAUUGACAAGUGAUGUUUUUAGUGGGUAAUACUAAUAUUGAACAUAUUUGCUUCACUCAUCAUUUUGCACAUCCCAUUUACUCUGUUGGUCCAAGUACGAUGUUUUCUAAAAAUACUUAAUAAAAAUGUACAGGUCCAUACUUCUCAACUAAAGAACAGUUUAUUGUAGGUUCUUUUAAACGAAAUAACUUGUGAGCAGAAAACAAGCUUAUUUUCACGAUGGAAUUAUACAAAAUGUUCAUACAUCAAAAGAUCAUGUCUACUAACCUCAAACCGAUAACUCAAACAACAAUUUGUUCAGUCAUGACUUGCUUUAGCCAUAUGGAUUAUGGAUUGUCAACUAUGACUUCACUGCCUGCUUUAUGUAUCUUAGAGCAGACCGCAACAUUGCCCUAGCUUUCCUAUCAGGAGUGCAACCAGACAAAAUCAUCUCUUCAUAUACAGCUGGGACCUUAAUCGAAACCACACAGAGUAUCUUUAAAUAACAAAACAUGGAUGUUACAAUUGAAAAUAGAUGAUGCAUGCAAUGCAUCACGUUAAGAGCAACUGAUGUAGAAGCAGAAUUGAUCAGACCAAUACCACAAAUCUGUUUGAUCUUUCAACGUUUUUUAGUGGACAGGAAAACUAGAAUAAAUGUUGCUAUAUGCUACAGAAGAGAGGGGAGGGGUGAGGGAUUGUCAGAUCUCGGUAAGAUGCAAGUUUAUAGUUGUUUCAGUAGAUGGUGACUUACAACCGAGAUUCAAAUCUCCAGUAACUAUAAUCAAAUGACUCAACAUAGUCAUAUAGGGAAAAAGAAUACAAAAACAGCAAAAAGCAAAGCUAGCAUGCAACUGAUCCAAAUGGCUAUCUAUACAAAGGCACAGAAAAUAUUAUUUGUGAUGCAAAAAAGCAAAGGGCUAUUAUCUCGUUCUCAUAACAGGAAGGACACGUUAUACCUUAUGAAACUUGUCAACACGGAUAAGAGCUUUCAUAAGUAUGGUAUAUGUGACAACGUCUGGUUUCACACCCUGUAUAUAAAUUGAACUAGAUAAUAGUGUCAUAAUUAUGACCUAAAAGAAUAGUACCAAUAACUUCAAGGCAAGCAAACGAAGGUAACAGGGUACUCACGUUUGAAUAUGCAGUAGCAGCCUGUAGAAGAACAUUCAUUCUGCCAUCAAUUCUAACAACGAAAAGAUAAUUAAUAGCAGUUUGUCAGUUUGCCCUUCCAAUAGAGGUGAUCAAGUGCAAUUUAGCAAAUAAAACUGUUUAUAGUGAUAUUCAUAACCCCAUUUCAAAACCAGAGGUCACAAUACAAACAAACUCACACAUACAAUAACAUGCAAAGCCUGAGAAAAUUAACAAGAGAAUACCAUAGAUAUCCUGCUGAGGUUCUGCAUCAGUAUAGCUGCAGCUAAACCUACAUCCGGCUAAGACAAGUCAACAGUUUCAGAAAAACAUUUACCUCUAGGCUUGGGUUCAACCAUAAAUUUAAUUUUUUUUUAAAAAUUUGUAACAAUAUGAAUCUAGUAGAUAGCCAUUUAAAAUGUUUCAGCUAUAUCCGAUAGCUCUUUGGUUCAUAAAAGAAAUUCCUAAGCUACCUCAAAGAACAAAGACUUGCAAUCAGAAACUAUGAGGCUUCACAGAAUAAACUUUCUCGGAUACAUCACAGAAUCAUACUUCACCUCAAGAAUUAUUUUUCAUGGAACAGAAAUAUACAAAGUUAUACGCAACAAGUAAUAGAACCACAUUGAAAAAGUUUUCAUAUGUUCAAUCGAACAUGCAAUAGAAUCAGUCAAAGAAAAGCCGAAUGAAAAUCAUAAGAAAGGAAUCAAAAUUAGGAGAACAAAAAACAAAUAUUCCAGAUUUGAGUAAAAGCAAAACUAACCUGUAAAAUAAACAGGGAACCAGCUACCUGCUAAAAUAAUGAAGGUAACGACCUGUCACUCAAAACUGAAGAGUUAGAAAAUGGAAAAAAGAAAAACGAAAUCGAUUUUACAGAAAAGAAAAGAAAAGAAAAACAGGUAAAGAGUGCGAGCAUUUUUCGUUGUUAGAAGAAGAAGAAACAGAAAUCGAUGGAAGAAGAAGCAGAAAUUACCUGUGCAAUAUCGAUGGAAGAAGCAGAAAUCGAUGAGGGUAGAAUAUGGAAUAGAAAAUAAGAAACGGUAAGGAAUCCCUAAUCGGCGCUCAGCGUGGGGAAUGCCUAUUACGGGCAACCAAACGCCCGUUUGGUGGUGGGCCCGCAUAUUAGGGGGAAUGCACUCCUAUUCCCCCAACCAAACAUAGUGUAGGGUUUGCUGCCACUUACAUGGUAUAAGGCCAAGUUGGGUUUUUUUUUUAUUGAGUCUAAUUUUAUGUGUUUCUUACACUUUAAUCCAACAUUUAUAAUUUAUCCAACCUAAAGUCUAAUUUUUAAAAUAUUAAUUAAUUAAUUUUUCAAUUAAAUUAUUUUUUAAACUUAAUUCUAAUUCUAUAGAAGUCAUUUCAACUUUAUCAUAUCAAAAUUUAUGAGAAACUAUAUUUAAUUGCUCUAUUCAACAAAUUUACGAUGAUUAAUUAAUUUAAUUCAUACUUCAAACUCUAAUAUUUUAUUUGUAAUUAAAUAAAUAAUAAUUCGAAGAAAUCAAAUUAAUUCCUAUGUCUUUUUUGUACUUAGCAAGAAAACGCAUUCAUUGUAGAUAGUGAUGCAUGCGAUCUAUUUUUCUUACUUCAUCAUUUUCAUUCAUUCCAUAUUAUUGGUUCUGCAUGCAAUUCGUUUCUGGUUAUCUCGAGCUAGGGAGGGACUGAUUGAACAUAUAUAAUUAGGCUCAAAUAAUUUGUAAUUAAAUUCCAAAUUUUCACCUAUUAACUAUAACAUUAUUCAGUGAAGAAGUCAUUCUACUAAAGUAUCAUGAUUAAGCUCUCCCGUAUUAUAUACCAUUAUGAAAGUCACUCAUUGAGUGCUCGUCCAAUGACCUUGUUAUAAGUGUGUUAAACUUAUAGAAUAUUCUCAAUCUCUUUGGGAUAAAUCAAUUCUCCCAGUAUAAUCAUAUUUUAUCUCACGGUAAGUAUUACAUCUUCUUUUAUGAAAAGUUAAUUACUAACAAAUAGUAAUUAAAUCAUUUCUCACAAAUACAAAUGACUCAUGACCACACUAGUUUUCAUCUAUCAUGUAAUGUCGAUGAGAGAAUAUCAUUUCCUCUUUAAUUGGGCUAUAAAUUUCACUGUUGUGAAAUGAUGCUACAUACUGCAGAAGUUGUAUACCCGACGCACCAGCUUUCAGUUUCUUACCUAUUUGAACUCAAACUUUCACUUACAUAAAAUUAUACGAGUCAUGCAUACAUAGCUCAUCAUCCACUCAAGAUUGAGGUAGGCCACACUAUGAAAGUUACAAGUAAAUAGAUUCAUAAACAGAUUUAGGAUUUAUUUUACUUGGGUCCUAUAUGAUGUAUUGUCAAUCCAAUCAGUCACAUCCAUGUAUGUAUCUUUUAGGAUUUAAUUCGCUUCGAUAUCUAAUACAAUGUAUCUCCUCAAUUGAACUUGAUAAAUGUUAUAUUAGUCCUUUAAUUGAUUUACUCAAUUUCAAUUAGACUAAGGAUAUGUUUAGAUUAUCUACUAAUAUAAGCUAUCUUUCCGCAUUGCAAUCCUACCACACAAUGUUGCUUAAUAUUAGUUAAAUAUUAGAUAAUCAGUAAACUAAUAUUUGCUUUCAUUAUGCUUUGUGUGCAAAAAUCAUUGAGGAGAAUAUACAAAAGAUACUAAUAAUACUGAUGCAUAUUUAUUUAAACCAUUGAUAUAUUCAAAAAAUUACAAGUACAUAGUUGAAAAUACUACACUGAAGACACUAGAUCCCAACACAUUCAUGCUAACAUGUUUUAAAUUUCUAUGCCAUAACCAAUAUGCCUCUUCACUAUUUGUCAUAAAACAAGAAUGAAAAGAAUCUAAAACAUCUAGAUGCACCACAUAAAUAUUACUUAACCUAUGACCUACAAAAAUAAUCCCAUUAGACUCUAAAUUUACAACUUUUGAAUGAGGUUUGAAGGAUAUUUUUCUUGAGAAAUUUAGCAAAAAAAAAACACAUUUUUAAUAUGGGUGAAAGUACUUUUACCCAAAUAUGACAGAUAUGCAAUUACAAGUAAAUGCACUCUAAUCUAAUUAUUAGGUAACUUUUCAAACACACCCCUUAAAAUAUAAUCCAUCUUUAUUAAAACUAAAUAAAUUUUGUAUCUCAAGUAUAUCAUUAAGCUUUUGAUGCCCAGAAAGUUAGAAAUUGAAGUAUGCAAAUUCAUAUUCUUUUUGUUCAAAUUAUAAAUUUGAACUUACAUAUCAUUUACUUUUGUUUCAAAAUCACUUUUUUGCUUUGGUUAAUGAUUCAUUUUCUCCUUUCACCUUUGAAUUCAUUUUUGGGUGAUUGUGUAGUUUAACUCUUAAAUAUGUCUAAAAAUAUAUAGUUUGUAUUUCUUUUUUUUCUUUUUUUUCUUUUUUUUUUAUAUAAGUGGUAUCUAAACUUAUAUUCCAUUAUACACUUUAAUACUUCUAUUUUGAUACUGUUAAUUUGUGAUGACGACACACAAGCAACCAAUUAUAUGGUGACACCCAUUUGUGAGGAACUGCAUUUCAAGAUUAACCUUUAGCAGCUAUGGUCUAGAAGCUACAGUUCCAUUCUUGUCUUUGCCCAAGCUUGAACAGUUAGACCUUGGUAUAAAUUAGAUGAAAUUUUUGUAAUACUCCUUUUUUAAAUUAAUCAACUCAUGAACUCACCAACAUUGAUUUGUCACUAUACUCAAUCCUAAGCUUUUUUUAGUAAUACUCACCCUAGAAUUUUCAUUAACACUUAAAAACUAAUGAUUUGUUUCAUUUACCAAAAAGAGGAAAAGAAAAACUAUAAAUGAUUUAGGUAUAAUCUUCAUUUACAAAAAGUAGAUGGAUUGAUAUCAACUAAAUGGAGCUUACAUGUAUUUUUUACUGCAUUACUACUUAAAUAAAAAUACAGAGUUGAAAGUUACAAGGUGGUAUUGUUGGAGAUGAUUAAGGAAUCAUCAGUCUUACAUUGUUUAGUUGUUUGUCAAACUUUGGCUUGAUUUUGGAUACGCUAUCAUCUUUCAAUCUUUGGGCUAGUGUUGUUUUUAACCGCAUCACUUCACUUCUCUUCCGACUUCCCGUCUUGAGUGUGCUCCUUUCUUUUUUAUUGCGUGGUCACGUUUUGAGUUUCUUUCGUUUUCUGCUCGCAAGAUGUUCGUCAUUUAUCCUCUUAGAAAUUUUCUUUUUUAAUUCUGGUAUCUUAGUUCUUGUUUUGGAACCCUGAAUUCAUUGAAACAUUAUCAAUUUUUGUUUCAGUUAUAGUUAGAACAGUGAAAUAUUCAUUUGCACACAUCUCCCACUUCGAGCCUCGUAUGAUAUUUUAUACUCGUUUAAAUUACAGGAGGGUUGGUAUAAACUCUGAAAUGCUAUUGCUUGGGACCCAAAGAAGACAAAAGAGAAAAGCGUAUUGCCUGUGUGAAUGCCCAAAAUAAAUAUGGAGAGUCUAUGAUAAGCCAACUAUAAAAGAUACCAACGACCAUUAACAAAGACUUAGAUACAAGUCGACACUGGUUUGAGAAAUGGGUGAGACUUAUGUUACUACAUUGUAUUCAUUUUUCGACAUCUUCUGUUUCAAGUCUCAUGUGACAAUUUAACUCUGUAAUAGCAGAAAGCUUUGUCUGAAAUGCGAUUGCCUUGGACCCAAAAUAGAAAGACGCUUUUAGCCUGUGUGAAUCAAAACGGACAGUGUAUCAUACGUUAAGACUGAAAGGGGAAAAGGUCUCUUGACCUUGAAUGGGGCUAAAAUAAAUUACUAUAAUACAAAGACUUCAACUUUGGAGUGAAACAUGGGUGAGAGACUUUUAAUAGUUACUUUGAUCGUACAGGCAACUGCAAUUAACCUAUAUAUAUGGAGAUAAAAGCUUAUUGCCUGUGUGAAUGUCCAAGUCAAGAUGGAGAGUCUAUCGUAAGUACAGUACAAAAAUUGCCAACGAACUUAACGGAAUAACAUAAACUAAUAGAAUGCGAAGACUUAGAGGGAUAAAUUUAUGUUCCUACACUGAAUCCAUUUUUCCACAUCUCCAUUUUGUAGUCUUACAUGACAGUUGUCUUCUUGACACUAAAUCGGCCGACAUAAAUUAUUAUAAUACAAAGACAUAAAACUAUGGAGUGAAAAAUGGGUGAAAGACUUAAAAGUUUUUUAUUUGAGGGUUGAAAGACUUAAUAGUUAGUUUGAUCGUACAGGCUACUGCAAUUAACCUAUAUAUUAACCUUCAUAUCAUGGUUGUUACUUGCAUGCAGAGCAUUUGUUACUCAUGAAGAGUUUAACCUUGCUUGCUCCCUUACUCUUGUGUGUUACUUUACUAUGUUCUUCUCUUAAUGUUGCUUCUGAUUCUGCAGCAGCAGCAUUGGCAAUCCUCAAAUGGAAAGCCAGCCUUCAAAGCCAAAACCAUUCUGUUUUGCUUUCCUGGAAUACUUCCAACAACCCAAAUACCAAAACAAGUCCUUGUGCUUGGUUUGGAAUCCAUUGCAACCAUGCUGACAGUGUUACAAAGAUUAACCUCACUGGCUAUGGUGUAAAAGGUACGCUCCAUUUAUUCCCAUUCUUGUCUUUGCCUAAUCUUGCAGAGUUGGACCUUAGCACCAAUGAACUUUAUGGCAUAAUCCCACCUAAAAUCAGUCAGCUCUCCAAACUCACCUACCUCGAUUUAUCCUUUAACCAGAUCUCUGGCCAAAUCCCACCUGAAAUUAGCCACCUUGUACAUCGUCAGACCCUCCACCUUGCUGGAAAUCAGUUGAACGGCUCAAUUCCUCGAGAAAUUGGUCAGCUCAAAUUUCUCACUGACCUUGCCUUGUGUAGCAACAAGCUAAAUGGUUGCAUUCCUGCUUCUCUCGGUAAACUAAGUCGACUUGUUUCCUUGCUUCUCUAUAAUAAUUCCCUUUCUGGUCCCAUUCCUCCAGAAUUGGGAAACCUUAGGAAUUUAGUUGAAGUUUACCUGGACACCAACCGUCUAACUGGUCCCAUCACUUCCACAUUUGGAAACUUGAAAAAACUGACGGUGCUUCAGAUGUUUAACAAUAGUCUUUCAGGUCCCAUCCCCUUUGAGUUAGGGAAUAUGGAAUCUCUUUCUGAAAUAAGCCUUUAUCACAACAAUCUAUCUGGCUUGAUCCCAACCUCAUUUGGUGGCUUGAGACUUCUUACACUUGCCCACCUCUAUGAAAAUCAACUCUCUGGUCCAAUUCCUGAGGAGAUAGGAAACUUGAAUUCUCUUGUUGACCUGGAGUUGAGUGAAAACCAACUCAACGGCUCUAUUCCUGCUUCACUUGGCAAUUUGAGCAACUUGGAAAUUCUGUUCCUCCGAGACAACCGGGUCUCAGGUUCCAUUCCUAAUGAAAUUGGAAACUUGAUGAAGUUGACCGUGUUAGAACUAGACCACAACAAUCUGACAGGAAAUUUGCCACAAGGCAUUUGCCGUGGUGGAUCACUUGAAUACUUCACAGCAAAUGACAACCAGCUUACCAGACCAAUCCCUCAAGGGUUGAAAAUUUGCACUAGCUUGAAGAGAGUCUACCUUGAAAGAAACCGACUCAGAGGAAAUAUAUCUGAAGAUUUAAGCGUUUACCCGAAUCUGAAGAUUUAAGUGAGAACGAAUUUUAUGGUGAAGUGUCUUCCAAUUGGGGGUUGUGCAAAAGUUUAGAGAUCCUAUCUAUUUCAAGGAACAAUCUCAGUGGUGCAAUACUCCUGGAACUAGGACUUAUGUCCAAGCUUUUGUAUCUAGACUUGUCUGCAAACCAAUUGAGCAAGUCCUUCCCUGAAACUAUAGGGAAUCUGUCCAUGUCAUUCUACUUGAAUUUGAGCAUCAAUCAGUUUAGCCAAAAUAUUCCAAUUCAAGUAGGCAAGUUAACUAGGCUGUUUCAUCUAGAUUUGAGUCACAACAUGCUUUCAGGGGAGAUUCCCGGGGAACUUCAAAGUUUGCAGAGCUUGGAGACGCUAAACCUUUCUCACAACAAUCUCUCUGGUGAAAUCCCAGCCUCUUUUGAGCAUCUCCGGGGCUUGUACACUGUUGACAUUUCAUACAAUGAGCUCCAGGGUCCCAUUCCCAACAGCCAAGCAUUUCUAAAUGCUUCAGUACAAGAAUUGAGAGGGAACAAAGCAUUGUGUGGCAAUGCUAGUGGACUACCGCCUUGCACACCUUUUUUCUAAGAAGGGUCACAACAACAACAAAACCCUUUUCGUAGUUAUGUUCCGUCUUUCGGACAAGGUAGUUUCCAAAGGGAUCCAUCAUAGCUCCAAUUCUGACGACCUUAACCUCGUNNNNNNNNNNNNNNNNNNNNNNNNNNNNNNNNNNNNNNNNNNNNNNNNNNNNNNNNNNNNNNNNNNNNNNNNNNNNNNNNNNNNNNNNNNNNNNNNNNNNAUCCAAGCAGCUUCCUUCAUCAAAUAUCCUUCGUUGGAAGCGACAACCUUUCUGGUCCUUAGCCAUGUAAUAUAUACAACCUUGAAACUCAACUGAGGAAUAUGGACUUGGCAUCAGUAUCACAUUUUCUCCAUGUCUUUUAUCAAGUUUAGAGUUUUUCUCUUGCAGGUUUUGCAAUCCAAACUCCUUGAGAGUCUUUUUCUUACAACAUUUGAACGAAUCAAAGCCCUUGUUCUCGAUAUCAUAUUUCAAACCUCUUCCUUGAAUGAUAACACUAUGAUCCUCCAUUACAUUCUCCUCAAGAGGAAUCUUACUGUGCAAGAACCCAGGAGAACUCAAUGAAUCAAUGGCAGCUCUUCCUCCAUUACCAUCAAUUCCACAUUGCUGGGAACAAACAAAAGGGUUACCAAUGUAGGGCCUAGUGGUAAAAGCACCCUGCAGCAACAUCCCCCUAUUAUCCAAUCCCCUACUCUGUUCCAUUCUCUGCUCCAAAAGAUAGUUUCUUUGGUUAUCAUGCCAACUCGGUACUGAAGACAAAUCAUUGGACUGAUUGUAACCAAUACUAUAAGACCCAAAUGAAUCACCCUUUUCGUAUCCAGUACCUUGCAGCCCAAGAAAGGUGGAGUCUAAACACAUCGAAACGUGUUGUGGAGAUGAUUGAAACCCUUUGUUAAAACCAUCGUAAGAACCAUAUUUUUCAGCGUGAUAAGACGAGACAUCACCAAAAUUGAAGGCGAAACCAUCUGGGUCCCUUUCAAAUUUCAUGGAAUCCAUGGGCUGUUAUAAAAAUUCAAACCUCGUAAUGGGUUUUAUUUGAAGGGCAAGAGAGACGGCCUUAAGAAAACUGAAUAAAGUGCAAAAUCACAAUACUAUAUACUUUUAACAUUGUCAAUAUUUCGGUAUCCAAAAAGAAAGCAUCCAAUUACAUCAACAACUUCAAAGUUUUAACCAAAAUAAUUGACGGCAUCUUCAAAGUCUCUCUUCACCAUCAACAUGGGGCUUAACACAACUCCAUGCACCAACACGUUCCAGUUGGGGCCUAAAAGGGAGGGAAAAAAAUCUAAGAUUAGGAAUAUAAUUUUAUAUCAUUGCAGCGAAAAUUACAGGCUUAGGGGACAAAAACCAAAAAAGGCCCCUACACUUUUCCAAAAAAAAUCAAUUGAACCCCUAGACGUUAGAAUUAUAAUAAAUUAAGCCCUUUUAUCAUUAAAGUUAUCCCUCAAAGUUACAAAGCCAAAAGUGCCAUUUUUUUGCUGGUUGUUUUCACCACAUGGCAAAAACUAGUAUUUGAUGUAUAAAACAUUAAAAAAAAUCAACAAACAUUUAUAAAAAGUCAUAGAAAAUCGUAAACAUAAUGUAUCCUCAAUAGUACUAACAAAAUUUAAAUUCAAUUAUAAACAUAAUAAAAUUGAAUAAACAAAUAAGUAAGAAGAUUAAAUAUAUUAUUAACAUGCAUGAAAUUAAUUACUAUUAACAAGCAUGAAAUUAAAUCUUUAACAUAGUCUAAUUUCUAGCGACUUGUUUUAAGAAUUCGAAUUUCUCGAUUUCAAUUGAAGUAAUUUGCUUCAAUUUGAUCCUUGAUUUCAAUUCUAAUCUCACCUAAGCUAAUCCGAAGUUCUAGUUACUACUCUCUAACCCGUAUUUCUCUUACCCGGAUUUUCUAAACUCGUAUUUUUUGUUCUUCCUCUUAAUCACGUGAUUCUUUUUAUUCUUUUCUUUUUCCUACUUUUAGUCCCGACUUUGAGGUGUGACAGUUUCUAAAUAUAUUUAAAGAGAAAACCAACUUGCUUACCUUUCAUGGAUUUUCAGAAAUAAUUGAUUUCGAAAAAAUUGGGUACCUAUAUCAAAACAUUAAAAUAACAAUAUUCAUUUAAUAUGAAUUAAAAAACAAUUUUACAAUGAUAAUACAAUUUUUCUAUAUUCCUUACCUGAUAUUUUUUCCUUUUGCAUAAAAGAUUAAACCUUCAAAUAGAUGAAGAUACAGCUCUGGCAGUAGCAUGCUCAACUCGUUCUCAAUGUUAAUGAUGCUAAUCUAUAAAAUAAACAAUUUAAGCAAAAGUUAAUAACAAAAGUAAAUAGAAUAUCAUAAUAAAAAAUAUUGAAAUCUUACUUUUCGUGCUGUAUUAUCGUUGUAAUGACGGUAAACAUUAGAGCAGUACCGUACUACAGAGGCAUGGUAAUUGCUUGAUUGACGAAAAUCUUGAUGCUCGAGUAUAGAAUUAAGCACCGGAUGCUGACUCACCACCAACACCCAAUCAUAUGAAUAUUUUUUUCUCAAGCGAUCUAGGCAACCGUCAAAAAGUGACACACUAAUCUCUCCACGCUUCAUGAUGUGAUCCAGAUUGAUAAUAAAAUGGAACUUAUCAACAGGUCUCCAAAAUAAAGGCGCAUCCAGUAGAAACGCGGGACUCAUGAAUUUUCUAUCCAUUUGAACAUAGGCAAAUAGGUAAACAAAAAAAUUAUGAAAUUAAUGAAGUAGAACAUAUGAGUUAUCGAACUUUAAAAUAAAUAUAUGAAAGAUAACUUACAAGUUUCGAAAAUUGAGCUGGGUAAGAAAACAUAAUAGUUCAUUCGGCAUAUUGAAUUUCUGAUAAUUCUGGAUAACAGAUCCGAAUGGCAUAUUGACGAUGUAGUUCAUCAAAUAUUUUAACUGAUCAAUAUCACCUUCCAUUGGUUGAUCAGAUGCAUUUAAAUUGGGUAAAAACUUUACCCUCCCACUGAAAUUAGUGAUGAAUAUAGACUUUACCGGAUCUUGCGUAUGAAUGCUCUUAUUACUUUUAGCCCAUAUACAAGCCACAUCCCUUAAGAUCUUACCGAAAUCCUCACUAAUAUAAUUGAACCAUUCAGGCUCAUUUCGGUUACUACUUUCCCACCUCGCCAUCCUUUCUCUAAAAUAUGUUACAAUAUUUUUAGAAUAUUCUAAUGCAACCAGCCAUUCAUCUUGAUACCGUACAAGAUGAUGGCAGCAUAAAAUCCAAUCAUCUUGAUGCUCCACUAAAUGUGUGUAUAGUUCCAAAGCUUUCUCUUCAUCUUUAAACGCCAAGAAAGUGGAGUUAAUUUCUUUUCCCGAAAUCUUUAGCAUUCCAUAAUACACACUGCCAUCCUGGUCUAUAAUAGCACAAUCUGGUUCCGACAUAGCUGUUGCAAACCAAAAAUAAAACUUAAACUAACAAUUCACAUGUAUACAGUACACAUAUAUACAGUUCACAGAACACAAUUCUAGCAGUAAAGCACACACGGUUCACUAAACACUAAUUUAGAAGUUCACACAUAGACACAAUUCGGUCGGUUAACCGAAUUAACCGAAAAUUAUAUGUUUUUUAUUUUUGGUUAAAAAUUAAAAACGACUGAAUCAUGAAUAUGAGUGUUUGAUAAACAUCGGCAUCAACUAAGCGGUAAAUCAGCUUUUUUCUAGCUAACAGCUUCUCUAUCCUUCAUCUUCAUCAUAUCCAUAUGGUUUCUAAGGGUCCCAUUUUGGAGCUGCAUGAUUAUGACUUACAGUGCUAUUUGUCAUUUCUUGCCCUUCCCACAUGCACACGCAAUACUUGAAAGAACAAAAUUAUAUGAACGAAAUAAAAAAAAAAGAAGCAGAGGGAAAGUAACAAGGAAAAACAAAUGACCAAAAUGAAAUCUAUACAGAUUUUGCUUUCGCUUUGGGGUUCCCUUGGACCCUAACACUUCAAACCAUGUUAAAUUGACAGCAAGGAGAGUGGCAGACCAGAGGUUUGCCGUGCUUGACCUGCUCCCAUCUCAAGACCCCACAACUAGAAUUGGUCCUCUAAUCUAUUGACUUAUCCCUUAAAACAAGUCCAAUAUUCACAUAUUACCUAGAAUUGAAGUGAAUAUCGAAUAACAGUCUGUGUUCAACACCAAUAUAUUCAAUUUUCUGAGCGACCUUACUCAGGGAAAAAAAUAGGUUGAUCAAAUUUCUUAUGUAUAAACCAACCAUUUGCACAUUAUCUCAAAAUAAUUGCUUGUUUAUGUGUCUGUAUAUAUAUAUAAUAUGUAUGUAUGUAUAAUGUUCACUCUCCUAAGAAACUUUGUAAAAACCCACCUAAAUCAAAACAGAAACUCCUAUUUGGUUCAUCCAACCGCAGGUUUUCCCCAUUUUUAAUUAAUAAGAAAAUGCAUUUUCUUGUUUUAAUUCCUGUUUUUUCCCUGCAUUUUCUAGGAAUAAAUCAAAGAUAAAAGAGUUCAUAAACACAUAAAUCAUUGAAUAGAACUAUAAUAAAUCAAAUAAAAAAGAUUCAAGACAAAUCAACCUUAUCCCAAACUGAAUUUAACCUGAAAAUCCAAACAACCACAAAGCCAUACAAAUCUUCAAGUUUGAGUAACCAACAAAGAAUAGAGAAACCCCCAAAUCAAUACCAAAUCCAUAACUACGUGUUAUUCACUUUGCAAUAUGAACUCAUAACAUCUUCAGUAUAUCAAUCUAAGGUUUAAGUAAAGCAAAAGUUUUUAUCAUUUUCUGAAUUACUAAAAGAUAAAAGCAUCUGUGACUCCUACAAUUUCACCACCAAACACAGCAUUAACUCCUCAUAAAUGAUAGAUCUAUACGACAUAAAAGAAACAUUUACAUACACAGCUUUUUCUCUAUGAAUAAGGAAAGAAACAAGAAAACUGAAGCUGAUCUUAAAACAUACAUCAAUAUUCUGCAUCUUUGAAACAAGAUUCCAUUUUCCAGAGUCUCGUUUACCAAUCCAAGAAGUUACUACAACAGAAAAAAGAACAGCCGGAUUUUUUAUUUCUUUCAAAGGUUGAGUGAAGCAAAGAAAGAAAGAAGUUUUUUUUGAGAAACGAUACUCUUCAACACGAGAAAACGAAGCAAUAUCCGGAAAAAGACAUCAAACAUCCGGAGAUUAGGAAAACAAAAAUUCUCUGCAAAGAAAUUCUACGUUAUAAGAACAUGGAUAUAAAUUAUGGCGGCGGAUGGUUUUCCAAUCAUGUCACAUUCAAUAAACACACAUUGAAGAAAUUAGAAAAAAAAACGAAAUUUAAAUUAGAAGAAAGCAAACCUUGGUAUAGGUAUUGGUGUGGUGGAAGAGAAAUGGACAGCAAAAAGGUGUGAAAGUGGGUUUUCCCGAUUCAACUGAGAUUGAGAUACGAUUAAGUGGAAAGUCGGCUGCUGAGAAAAAAUUCGGUUGUUACAAUUUAGAUUACAAAAGCAUGUAACUUCAGGAAAACAAAAAUUCUCUGGAAAGAAAUUCUACGUUAUAAGAACUAGAACUAGAGAUUCAAUAAACACACAUUGAAGAAAUUGGAAAAAGAAAAACGAAAGCGAAUUUAGGAGAAAGCAAACCUCGGUCUGGUGGAAGAGAAAUGGACAGCAAAAAGGUGUGAAAAUGGUGGGUUUUACCGAUUCGACUGAGAUUGAGAUACGAAGGAAAAGAAACGACAGAAGGGAAAUCCUAGCAACAAAAAGAAAACAAACGUGAAAGCCAAGAUGGAGAAAGCGGGAAAAAAAAUAGGGAAGUGAGUAAAGAGUGGAACUACAAAAAUAAUUUUAUUUUUUUAUUUUUAUUAUUCUUAUCCUCUUAUAAAAAAUAAAUUCUAAAACAAUUUAAUUAAUAUCCAAUUAUCAAAAACCCUCCAAAGGUUUAACAUAUAUUUUAAGGAGUUAAAAUUGUAAAUAAAAAAUACUUAAAAAGAGAAAGAAAAAUUCCACAUUGUUCACACCUAAACUCAAACUCUAAACCAAAGGUUAAGCUACCAAAGACCUAGCCACUAACGCAGAUGUUUCAUUUUAGUAUUAAAACGCAAAAAUUAACUUAACAGUCCCACCUAACCGCUAAUCCAACCAACUAACCUGAAUAAUUCUAACCAAAUUCCGGGGCGUUACAUAGGUCAUGUAACUCACUAACUUGCACCCUAAGAAAAUUAUCAGAUGAUACACGACCGUGUUACUAGGUCAUAUAUUUCAAUCCUAAUCUCAUUGACUUAAUGUGCAAAAAUUUAGACUUAAAAAUUUGGUUUGGUUAAAAAAAAUAAGCCCAUUUAAAAAUGAGUUGAGCCUCAAGGAAGUUUUUUCGACCAAAACCUGACCCGACCUAAAUUUGCAAAAAAAAAUUAUUUGUUACUUUGUCACUGUUUUGCUAUCAUUCCACUAUUAUAUUACUAUGUAUUAUUGUUUGGAUAUUGUAUUAGUCUUGUUUUAUUGAUAAUUUUGUUACUAUUUUAUUUUUAGAGGCACUUAUCUCAGUGCUAUUUAAGUAUAAAUACUUCUUUUUAAUUUACUUUCAAUUUGUUGAUAAACAUUGAUUUUAAUUUUUAAUAUGUUUGAUUUAUUAUAUUUUUAAAAUUUAUUUAUAUAUAUAAUAAUACGGGCGGAUCGAGCCAGGCUCGAGUUUUAACUUUUUUUAUCCAGAUCAAGUUUGAACAAAAAUUUAGGCCUAUUUUUGAUAUCAGGUCGAGCUGGGCUGGGCUUAUAAAACAGGUCUGAAAUUUUGUUACAACCUGUCCCAUAAUCACCUCUAGUGCAGAUCAAGUCAAACUCGAAUUCUUUCAAACUUAUUUGAGUUAAAUUUGGGUAGAAAAGUAACGUUACGCUUUGAGUAAAGUCAAGUUCAGUCAAAUAACAUGCUUUAUUUUAUUUAAACUCGACCCACGAAUAAAUCUAAUGUUUCAAGAUUGGAGUGAAAUGGUUGAAUGUAGAGGUGAGCAAAAUUCGAUUCGACUCGAAAAACUCGAUAAAAAAUUUAAAUUUUAAGUUAAACAAUUCAAGUUAAUCGAGUUAUUCAUAUCAACUCGAAUAAAAAUAUCAAAUUUUUUGGUUUAACUCGAAUGUGAAUUAUACAAUUCGAGUUAUUCGAAAAUCAAACUAAGAAAAUACAAAAUUACGUCGUUUUGAUAAAUGUUUAUAUUUUCUAAGCUAAAAGUCAAAACAAUUAAGUUAAAAGGCAAAACUAUUUCGUUUUGAUAAAUGUUUACCUAUUAAGUCAAAAGGCAAAAUCAUUAUACUGUUUAUAUAGUUAAAUAAUCCUAUACUUUGUCUAUUAGUUAAAUAAUUGGUCCAUAUAAACAUAACAUUGAGCAUAGAUAAUAGGAUUUGUUAACUAGACUCGACUUGACUCGAAAUUUUUUUACUCGACUCGACUGAAUACUCACCCCUAGUUGAAUGAACUCUAAUAAAAUGCAAUAGAAGUUUAUGCCUAAUAAAAUUAAAUUUGUUAGUUUGGUAUCCUAUAGACUCCAAUUGAAAUUGCUUUUAAAAGAAAAUGUUUUAAAAUUGUUGAGGCACUUGUAAGAGAAACUACACCAAGUAUUUACAGUCAUGUUGAUAACUGCCCAAUGUUUUAUACUUUGUCGUAUUUGAAGUUAGCAAUUUUUUGAAACAAUAUAGUUGGCGGAUGAAUUAGUUGGUAUUAUGGACAUGUAUUAGUCCGUAUUUAAAGAUUGAUAUUAUGAAGAAACAAAAUUUUAAAGUUUAGAUUUAUUUAAAUCAAGCAAAUUGGAUCUAUUGUUUCGUGGAGAUUGAUUUGAAUGGCUUCAAAACAUAUCUUAGAGAUUUUUUAUUUAAAUCGACCAAAUAAUAUUUUUUAUAACACUUAAUUAAAUCAAACCUUGUAAACAAGUAAAACAAGAUGUUGCAAGAAGACAGAAAGGAAGACUAAAAGGAACAAGUGCAAAAUAAAAGCUUUAUCUACUUAGUAUAUAUAUAUAUCAAUUGAGUCUUAAUUCAAUUAGUAUAAAUAUUGUUGCUAAUGUGAGAGAACGCCGGUUCAAAUACACUAAAAUAUAUUAUCCUUCUAUUUAUAAAUUGAAAAAGUUAUUAAGUAAUUUUAAAAAUUGUGUCAAACAUAACAGAUAUGAUCAAAACUUCUAAUGAAAUUGUUCAAAAAUAUAAUAUAUAUUGCUAACAAUUUCUCUACGAAGGUAGUUACAAGAGUAAUAACAUAAAUAAUAUUUAUAAUUGCAAAAUAACCCAUUAAUUCCAUUUCUUUCUCAAUUAUUUGAAUUUUGAUAACUUGAAGACAAAAUUUAAUAAAAAAUAUUUUCUACAUUCUAUUUUAAUAUUUAACAAUAAUAAGUUAAUUAAUAUAAUAUUAAAAUUCAAUAAAAAUGACUAUUUUAUAAAAAUAAACUUAUCUUUUCUUUUAUGAUAGAUGUAUUUUUAUAGUUAAAUAAGCUUCAAACUUAUAAAUUUUAUUGAUGAAAGUCCUCCAUUCUAAUAUUAAAAUAAAAAUAUUUAAAUAAAUUUGCAUUUUAAUGCCUACGUGAAUUUGAUAAAAAUGAUUUAUUAAACAAAAAUAAAAUAACAUUUUUUAAAAGUAAAACAAAAUAAUAUUUAAAAAAAUUAAAGUGGUUAUAUACAUAAGAAAGGAAACAACUUACCUACUAAAACAAUGCACAUAAUUAAAUUUAUUCAAUUAGAAUAACUUGUUUAAAGGAAUCCAAUCAAACAACAUAUUAUUCACCAUGAAGGUUUAAUUUAAUUUUCAAAUACAAAUAUGAUGAACAAGAAAAAGACUUAAUAUUUAACUUGAAUUUUUAUUUAAUUUAAAAAUAAAAGUAAUUAAUUAUUAAAAAUAAAAAAGCAAACCACGUAAUGGGUGAUAUUAUUAGUUAUUUGAUUAUAUAUACAAAGGCUCAAUUCCUCGAGAAAUUGGUCAGCUCAAAUUUCUCACUGACCUUGCCUUGUGUAGCAACAAGCUAAAUGGUUGCAUUCCUGCUUCUCUCGGUAAACUAAGUCGACUUGUUUCCUUGCUUCUCUAUAAUAAUUCCCUUUCUGGUCCCAUUCCUCCAGAAUUGGGAAACCUUAGGAAUUUAGUUGAAGUUUACCUGGACACCAUCCAUCUAACUGGUCCCAUCACUUCCAUAUUUGGAAACUUGAAAAAACUGACGGUGCUUCAGAUGUUUAACAAUAGUCUUUCAGGUCCCAUCCCCUUUGAGUUAGGGAAUAUGGAAUCUCUUUCUGAAAUAAGCCUUUAUCACAACAAUCUAUCUGGCUUGAUCCCAACCUCAUUUGGUGGCUUGAGACUUCUUACACUUGCCCACCUCUAUGAAAAUCAACUCUCUGGUCCAAUUCCUGAGGAGAUAGGAAACUUGAAUUCUCUUGUUGACCUGGAGUUGAGUGAAAACCAACUCAAUGGCUCUAUUCCUGCUUCACUUGGCAAUUUGAGCAACUUGGAAAUUCUGUUCCUCCGAGACAACCGGGUCUCAGGUUCCAUUCCUACUGAAAUUGGAAACUUGAUAAAGUUGACCGUGUUAGAACUAGACCACAACAAUCUGACAGGAAAUUUGCCACAAGGCAUUUGCCGUGGUGGAUCACUUGAAUACUUCACAGCAAAUGACAACCAGCUUACCAGACCAAUCCCUCAAGGGUUGAAAAUUUGCACUAGCUUGAAGAGAGUCUACCUUGAAAGAAACCGACUCAGAGGAAAUAUAUUUGAAGAUUUAAGCGUUUACCCGAAUCUGAAGAUUUAAGUGAGAAGGAAUUCUAUGGUGAAGUGUCUUCCAAUUGGGGGUUGUGCAAAAGUUUAGAGAUCCUAUCUAUUUCAAGGAACAAUCUCAGUGGUGCAAUACUCCUGGAACUAGGACUUAUGUCCAAGCUUUUGUAUCUAGACUUGUCUGCAAACCAAUUGAGCAAGUCCUUCCCUGAAACUAUAGGGAAUCUGUCCAUGUCAUUCUACUUGAAUUUGAGCAUCAAUCAGUUUAGCCAAAAUAUUCCAAUUCAAGUAGGCAAGUUAACUAGGCUGUUUCAUCUAGAUUUGAGUCACAACAUGCUUUCAGGGGAGAUUCCCGGGGAACUUCAAAGUUUGCAGAGCUUGGAGACGCUAAACCUUUCUCACAACAAUCUCUCUGGUGAAAUCCCAGCCUCUUUUGAGCAUCUCCGGGGCUUGUACACUGUUGACAUUUCAUACAAUGAGCUCCAGGGUCCCAUUCCCAACAGCCAAGCAUUUCUAAAUGCUUCAGUACAAGAAUUGAGAGGGAACAAAGCAUUGUGUGGCAAUGCUAGUGGACUACCGCCUUGCACACCUUUUUUCUAAGAAGGGUCACAACAACAACAAAACCCUUUUCGUAGUUAUGUUCCGUCUUUCGGACAAGGUAGUUUCCAAAGGGAUCCAUCAUUAGUUCAACAAUGUUAUCAGUAACCUCGUUGAAUAUAAUUUGAACAUCCAAGCAGCUUCCUUCAUCAAAUAUCCUUCGUUGGAAGCGACAACCUUUCUGGUCCUUAGCCAUGUAAUAUAUACAACCUUGAAACUCAACUGAGGAAUAUGGACUUGGCAUCAGUAUCACAUUUUCUCCAUGUCUUUUAUCAAGUUUUAGAGUUUUUCUCUUGCAGGUUUUGCAAUCCAAACUCCUUGAGAGUCUUUUUCUUACAACAUUUGAACGAAUCAAAGCCCUUGUUCUCGAUAUCAUAUUUCAAACCUCUUCCUUGAAUGAUAACACUAUGAUCCUCCAUUACAUUCUCCUCAAGAGGAAUCUUACUGUGCAAGAACCCAGGAGAACUCAAUGAAUCAAUGGCAGCUCUUCCUCCAUUACCAUCAAUUCCACAUUGCUGGGAACAAACAAAAGGGUUACCAAUGUAGGGCCUAGUGGUAAAAGCACCCUGCAGCAACAUCCCCCUAUUAUCCAAUCCCCUACUCUGUUCCAUUCUCUGCUCCAAAAGAUAGUUUCUUUGGUUAUCAUGCCAACUCGGUACUGAAGACAAAUCAUUGGACUGAUUGUAACCAAUACUAUAAGACCCAAAUGAAUCACCCUUUUCGUAUCCAGUACCUUGCAGCCCAAGAAAGGUGGAGCUGAAGACAUCACCACCAUCUAAACACAUCGAAACGUGUUGUGGAGAUGAUUGAAACCCUUUGUUAAAACCAUCGUAAGAACCAUAUUUUUCAGCGUGAUAAGACGAGACAUCACCAAAACUGAAGGCAAAACCAUCUGGGUCCCUUUCAAAUUUCAUGGAAUCCAUGGGCUGUUAUAAAAAUUCAAAACUCGUAAUGGGUGUUAUUUGAAGGGCAAGAGAGACGGCCUUAAGAAAACUGAAUAAAGUGCAAAAUCACAAUACUAUAUACUUUUAACAUUGUCAAUAUUUUGGUAUCCAAAAAGAAAGCAUCCAAUUACAUCAACAACUUCAAAGUUUUAACCAAAAUAAUUGACGGCAUCUUCAAAGUCUCUCUUCACCAUUAACAUGGGGCUUGACUCAACUCCAUGCACCAACACGUUCCAGCUGAGGCCUAAAAGGGAGGGAAAAAAAUCUGAGAUUAGGAAUAUAAUUUUAUAUCAUUGCAGCGAAAAUUGCAGGCUUAGGGGACAAAAACCAAAAAAGUCCCCUACACUAUUCCAAAAAAAAUGAAUUGAACCCCUACACAUUAGAAUUAUAAUAAAUUAAGCCCUUUUAUCAUUAAAGUUAUCCCUCAAAGUUACAAAAACAAAAGUGCCAUUUUUUUGCUGGUUGUUUUCACCACAUGGCAAAAACUAGUAUUUAAGGUAUAAAACAUUAAAAAAUCAACAAACAUUUAUAAAAAGUCAUAGAAAAUCGUAAAAUAUUGUUUUAAAAUUUUCUAUUUAUUUUAUAUAUAAAAUGCAUGCUUUCACCACAUGGCCACGUGCCAAAGACAGCCUCAAGAAAACCGGCACCCUUGGCUUUGUAACAUUGACCGUUAACUUUAACGGUCAAAGGGCUUGACUGAUUGAUUAUAAUUCAGAUGUUCAAGGGCUCAAUUGAGUGAAAACGAAAAAGUUCAGGGAGCUUAAUUGAUUUUUUGAAAAAGUUUGGGGCGCUUUUCUUUACCCUUUAGCCAAAAUUAAAGUAUAUUUGAUUGAUAUAUAAUAUAAUUAUUCUGAUCCAUAAAAAUAAUAAUUAAAAAUAUAUACACACAUAUCCAUCACCAGACCACAUCAACAGGCACCAAAUGAGCCCUAAAAAUCAAUAUUGUUAACAAUAAUAAAAGCUUCCAUGACCUUUAACAGCAAUGAAAAAUGAGUAAGAUUAUUAUUAUUAUUAUUAUUAUUAUUAUUAUUAUUAUUAUAACUCACAACUACCAACAAAACAAACACAUCGGAGAAACGAUCUCCAUAAUCUAUUAAUGGUUUUUCAGAUAUACAUCUGCAGUCUGCAGCAUUCAUCUUCAUAUGUAAUUCAUUCGAUUUUCAUUUUUGACUUCUUACGUGUUGGAGCUUCAUCAGUCAAGCACGCAAGAACAAAAUCAAAGAAACGAGGAAAAAACAAUACAGAUAUAAUUAUCACUCCCAAACCUUCUUACUUUCCAAGAAAACAUACGAUUCAUAUGUAUACAAAACCGGAAAUAGGAUGGCAAAAUAUUUAACAAGAAUUUCCAAAUAAACAUUUUUGUCCCCUACUAAUUACUUUUUCUCUACUUCAAAUUUUCUAGUUGUAGGACUAAGUAAUUCCCAUUUAUUAGAGUUAUAUUCUUAAGUAAUAUUUUGUCCACUCUCUUACCGAUUUCAACAAGCUAAUAGCUCACUUAGUAAUAACAUUCACUAUCUCAAAUCAAAUUCAUUGAAUAAAUCUAUCCUCACUUAGUAAUAGUUAUAUUUUCUGCACUUUCAUCUUGCUUCUUAUCAUAUGCAUGUUGCAAAAAUUUCUGUUCAGUAAGAUGAGGAAACCUUGUAAACCAGUAAAAUAAGAUGUUGCAGGAAGACAGAAAGGAAGACUAAAAGGAACAAGUGCAGUGAUGAAGGUUGUACGUUCCCGAGGCCAGUUAAAUCAUGAUGAUCGUACCAAUCGUACAGAAUUUCUUGAGAGCCAAAACUUCAUCUCUGGGACAACUGUAUAGCCUCUUUGAGUGAUGUUAAACGGGCUGGGAAUUUAUUAGGAAAGCACUACUAUGAAAGUAACACCAAUCAUGCGUAGUGGGAGAGACGUAGGUUAUCAAAAGUAAUUGGGGGGAUGGAAGUCAAGUAGAAGUUACAACCUAAGUAACAGUUUGGUCAUAGGUAGGCCUGCUCACAAGUCCAGCCUAGACAGGAUACUAACACCUUUCACGUUUGGCGAGGCCCCUGACCCAGCACAAAAUAUUGGCAAUAUCAUUCUACUAGACCCAACCCUAAUUACCAAUAGGGAGCCAUGCUUGGCCCAACACAACCCACCCAAAUUCGUUUUCUAAUUUUAUUUAACUGGCAGUCAAGCUUUACUUUGUUUACUUAUUGUUCAAGGUUAUCAUAGUCCUUAUUAAUAUUGGCAUUUUUACGUGUGGCAUCCAUAACCGACAAAAGGACAUCAUUUUACUAAAUCUUCCCUUGCCUAUAGGUAAUGACCUCGCUCUGAUAUUUUAAGCAGGAACAUUGUCAUAGUCUACCAACUUCUUAAGUAGGAAUUUAAGCCUUUGUUUAGAUCAGGAUAUUUUAUUUUCUUUUUGGAACAAAAAACUAGAAGCAACUAUUGGGGGUAAGGCAAGACAGAACUUGAGUUCUAGUUCUCUAAAGUUGCUAGGAGCCUCGUGCCCAUUUAAAACAACAAAUAGAGCACGGCGCAUAGUCCUAAUAAAACUGAGUCUUGGAAAAAGUCCAAAGGAAGACAUUUUCACACAAUGCAAAUCUGCCGCCUAAUUCGUCUACUCCAUACCUUAGCAUUACUCAAGUUUUAUACAGGAAGUUCCAGGCUCACUAUCAACUUCUUAGUGACAACAAGAGCAAACAAAAUGCAAUGACAAGCAGUAUUGGCAAACGAAAACUCCGUCAAUUUACAAGGAU
rnacentral:lncRNA from 1 species